rnacentral:rRNA from 1 species
UUAAGCGACUAAGCGUACACGGUGGAUGCCCUGGCAGUCAGAGGCGAUGAAGGACGUGCUAAUCUGCGAUAAGCGCCGGUAAGGUGAUAUGAACCGUUAUAACCGGCGAUUUCCGAAUGGGGAAACCCAGUGUGAUUCGUCACACUAUCAUUAACUGAAUCCAUAGGUUAAUGAGGCGAACCGGGGGAACUGAAACAUCUAAGUACCCCGAGGAAAAGAAAUCAACCGAGAUUCCCCCAGUAGCGGCGAGCGAACGGGGAGGAGCCCAGAGCCUGAAUCAGCAUGUGUGUUAGUGGAAGCGUCUGGAAAGGUGCGCGAUACAGGGUGACAGCCCCGUACACAAAAGCGCAUGUGCUGUGAGCUCGAUGAGUAGGGCGGGACACGUGGUAUCCUGUCUGAAUAUGGGGGGACCAUCCUCCAAGGCUAAAUACUCCUGACUGACCGAUAGUGAACCAGUACCGUGAGGGAAAGGCGAAAAGAACCCCGGCGAGGGGAGUGAAAAAGAACCUGAAACCGUGUACGUACAAGCAGUGGGAGCACAGGUUUACCUGUGUGACUGCGUACCUUUUGUAUAAUGGGUCAGCGACUUAUAUUCUGUAGCAAGGUUAACCGUAUAGGGGAGCCGUAGGGAAACCGAGUCUUAACCGGGCGUUAAGUUGCAGGGUAUAGACCCGAAACCCGGUGAUCUAGCCAUGGGCAGGUUGAAGGUUGGGUAACACUAACUGGAGGACCGAACCGACUAAUGUUGAAAAAUUAGCGGAUGACCUGUGGCUGGGGGUGAAAGGCCAAUCAAACCGGGAGAUAGCUGGUUCUCCCCGAAAGCUAUUUAGGUAGCGCCUCGUGAAUUCAUCUCCGGGGGUAGAGCACUGUUUCGGCUAGGGGGCCAUCCCGGCUUACCAACCCGAUGCAAACUGCGAAUACCGGAGAAUGUUAUCACGGGAGACACACGGCGGGUGCUAACGUCCGUCGUGAAGAGGGAAACAACCCAGACCGCCAGCUAAGGUCCCAAAGUCAUGGUUAAGUGGGAAACGAUGUGGGAAGGCCCAGACAGCCAGGAUGUUGGCUUAGAAGCAGCCAUCAUUUAAAGAAAGCGUAAUAGCUCACUGGUCGAGUCGGCCUGCGCGGAAGAUGUAACGGGGCUAAACCAUGCACCGAAGCUGCGGCAGCGAACGUAUCACCCAAGACAACUUUACGGAGUUGACGAUUGACGGAGCGAAGCGACGUCAAAGCGUUCAUUAAAGUCGAGUUGGCUUAGGGAUACGUUCGUUGGGUAGGGGAGCGUUCUGUAAGCCUGUGAAGGUGUGUCGUGAGGCAUGCUGGAGGUAUCAGAAGUGCGAAUGCUGACAUAAGUAACGAUAAAGCGGGUGAAAAGCCCGCUCGCCGGAAGACCAAGGGUUCCUGUCCAACGUUAAUCGGGGCAGGGUGAGUCGACCCCUAAGGCGAGGCCGAAAGGCGUAGUCGAUGGGAAACGGGUUAAUAUUCCCGUACUUGGUGUUACUGCGAAGGGGGGACGGAGAAGGCUAUGUUGGCCGGGCGACGGUUGUCCCGGUUUAAGCGUGUAGGUGUGUGUUCCAGGUAAAUCCGGUUCACUUUAACACUGAGGCGUGAUGACGAGGCACUACGGUGCUGAAGCAACAAAUGCCCUGCUUCCAGGAAAAGCCUCUAAGCAUCAGGUAACAUCAAAUCGUACCCCAAACCGACACAGGUGGUCAGGUAGAGAAUACCAAGGCGCUUGAGAGAACUCGGGUGAAGGAACUAGGCAAAAUGGUGCCGUAACUUCGGGAGAAGGCACGCUGACACGUAGGUGAAGUGAUUUACUCACGGAGCUGAAGUCAGUCGAAGAUACCAGCUGGCUGCAACUGUUUAUUAAAAACACAGCACUGUGCAAACACGAAAGUGGACGUAUACGGUGUGACGCCUGCCCGGUGCCGGAAGGUUAAUUGAUGGGGUCAGCGCAAGCGAAGCUCCUGAUCGAAGCCCCGGUAAACGGCGGCCGUAACUAUAACGGUCCUAAGGUAGCGAAAUUCCUUGUCGGGUAAGUUCCGACCUGCACGAAUGGCGUAAUGAUGGCCAGGCUGUCUCCACCCGAGACUCAGUGAAAUUGAACUCGCUGUGAAGAUGCAGUGUACCCGCGGCAAGACGGAAAGACCCCGUGAACCUUUACUAUAGCUUGACACUGAACAUUGAGCCUUGAUGUGUAGGAUAGGUGGGAGGCUUUGAAGUGUGGACGCCAGUCUGCAUGGAGCCGACCUUGAAAUACCACCCUUUAAUGUUUGAUGUUCUAACGUGGACCCGUAAUCCGGGUUGCGGACAGUGUCUGGUGGGUAGUUUGACUGGGGCGGUCUCCUCCUAAAGAGUAACGGAGGAGCACGAAGGUUGGCUAAUCCUGGUCGGACAUCAGGAGGUUAGUGCAAUGGCAUAAGCCAGCUUGACUGCGAGCGUGACGGCGCGAGCAGGUGCGAAAGCAGGUCAUAGUGAUCCGGUGGUUCUGAAUGGAAGGGCCAUCGCUCAACGGAUAAAAGGUACUCCGGGGAUAACAGGCUGAUACCGCCCAAGAGUUCAUAUCGACGGCGGUGUUUGGCACCUCGAUGUCGGCUCAUCACAUCCUGGGGCUGAAGUAGGUCCCAAGGGUAUGGCUGUUCGCCAUUUAAAGUGGUACGCGAGCUGGGUUUAGAACGUCGUGAGACAGUUCGGUCCCUAUCUGCCGUGGGCGCUGGAGAACUGAGGGGGGCUGCUCCUAGUACGAGAGGACCGGAGUGGACGCAUCACUGGUGUUCGGGUUGUCAUGCCAAUGGCACUGCCCGGUAGCUAAAUGCGGAAGAGAUAAGUGCUGAAAGCAUCUAAGCACGAAACUUGCCCCGAGAUGAGUUCUCCCUGAGACUUAGAGUCUCCUGAAGGAACGUUGAAGACGACGACGUUGAUAGGCCGGGUGUGUAAGCGCAGCGAUGCGUUGAGCUAACCGGUACUAAUGAACCGUGAGGCUUAACCUU